AUUUUAUAUAGAAAUCUUUUAAAACAUUCUAAAUGCCUUUACUCACUUUUGAUCAAUUUUAUGUAUUCUUGUUGAAUAAAUUUAACUUCUUUAAACUGACCCCAAACUUUUGAAAAGUAGUGAAUGCUUACUUAUUGUCUUAUGUCUCACUUUCCAGGUCAUAUCCAGGAUGUCCAGUAAGUCCAUGGACACACAGAUGGAGGGGAGGGGAAAUGGAGAUGUGAUCCAGUGCUAUCCACCAAUAGCUGAGCAUCAAGAUGAGGGAGAUGACGAUGAUGAAGAUGAUCAGAUACAGUAUCUCAGCGGUGGAACCAAAGAGAAAAUGCACAUGCAGACAAAUGAUCACCAAGCCAACAAAAAGCUUCACAUUCAACAUACAACUGUCACAAACCCUGACCUCGCAAAUCUCAGCCCAAGGUGUGCGCACGCCCACACAUGCAUGCUUUUAAAAAACAUUCAAAGAUGCAGUAUUUUAAUAGACAUUUGCUCACUGGUGCAUGAAGGACCUUGUGAGAGCAGUAAAGUGGAUUUCUGUUUGUGUGUGUUCAGGGUCGUGGACGGCACAGAGGACAGUGAUAGUACCGAAAAUUCACACACAUUCAUAUUUUCCUCUGGCCAACAGCACACUGUCAGUGGUGCAACUAAUACCACUGCCACCACAGCAGGUGUGUGAGUGAAUGUGUGCAUAUGUGUGUGUUGGCAGAGGAUGGAUGAGUUGAUGAAUAUUGGCAUCUUUCAUCUUCAUGCCAAUAUUCCAGGGCUGACGCACAAUGAAGGAUAACACCAUUUAAAGUAUUUACUAUCACCUUAAAGGAAUAGGUCACCCAAAAAAAAAAAUUUAGCUGAAAAGAUACUCACCCUCAGGCUAUCAAAGAUGUAGAUAAGUUUGUUUCUUCAUCAGAGCAGAUUUGGAGAAAUGUGUCAUUACAUCACUUGCUCAGCAAUGGAUCCUGAAUGGGUGCCGCACAGUAAUCCACACGACUCCAGUUAACAUCUUGUAAAGUGAAAAGCUGCUUGUAUGUAAGAAACAAAUACACCAUUGAGGCGUUUUAAGUUUAAACCAUUGUUUCUGGCCAAAAUACCAGUCCAUAAUCCAUAAUAGCGCUUCCUCCAGUGAAAACGUCCAUCCCUGUUGUCUUCUUACAUCAAAACCCACCGACAGAUUAGUUUUGGACUGUUUUUGCUCAUAAAUGGAACUUGAUCUGUGCAUAUUUCUCUCCUGAUUCGGAUGAGACAACUUUUUCACUGGAGAAAGCAAUAUUAUGGAUAGAGGACGAUCUUACUAUUUUAGCUGGAAGCAAAAAGUUUUAAAGUUAGAAAAAUGUUUUAAUGAUGAAUUUUAUUAAUUACAAACAUAUUUUAAUUUCACAAGAUGUAAAUUGAGGUACUGGAUUCAUGUGGAUUAUUGUGAUGUUUUUAUCAGCUGUUUGGCUCUCACUCUGACGGCACCCAUUGACUAAAGAGGAUGCAUCGCUGAACAAGUGAUGUAAUGCUAAAUUUCUCCAAAUCUGUUCCAAUAAAGAAACUAAAUCAUCUACAUAUUGGAUGGUCAAUUUCAGCAAAUUAAAAUUUUUGGAUGAACUAUUUCUUUAAAGGAAUAGUUAAAUAAUGUCUUGAAUUUUGGUCUUUUCCACACACAAUGCAAUAUAGAAGAGUUUUGGACCUUGUCAUUUUGAAUCAGUUUAUUUUCAUAUGAAAAAGGCAGCUUAGACAUUGUGCAAAAUACCUCAUUUUUUGUUUCUUGUAAGAAAGAAAAUCAUACUGGUUUUGAAAGACAUGAGAGUAGGUAAAAGGUGACAGAAUUUUCAUUUUUGUGGUGAACUCUUCCUUGAAGUCUUUGUAAUGAGUUUUCACUGGAUGUUCUGUCAGUGUGAGGCAGUUAGACAUAAUUGUUUUUUCUCUGUGCAGAAUUAGCAGCUAAUUCAGAGGACACCAGAGGACAGCUACGCCACCUUAACCAAGAGGUAAAUGAUUUUCUGUUUAAUCUCUGUCAGUCUUAUGUCAUUUUUUUUUUUUGCUGUGUAAUUUAAUGGUAGGUCUGCACUUACAGUUUAUUUGGUAAGUCUUCAAAUGGACUGUGGGUUUUAUGGGUGAUAACUCUGCACUAAAUGUGAGUGCUGACAGAUCGAAACCAGCCCCGCUCAGGUGAGCUCCUGGUGCCAGGUACGCACAAGCCAUAUGGCGGGCUGCUGCGAGAGAGGAGAAGGGAAUGUUAUUCAAACACUAGAGGACAUAAAAGUCAUUAGAAGAGGAAAGUGGGACUGGCCCCAUGAUGAUGGAAGAGAACAUUCCAACAUUCCAGAUUUCCACAAUGCCCUUGAACCCACGUAUUUUACAUGUACAUGAUUCUGUGUAAUUCAUUAUAAAUUCAAAGGUGGUUUGUAAAGAUGUUUAUUUGAGGAAUAUAUA
rnacentral:lncRNA from 1 species